UUUAGGCCUUAACGCUUGCUGUUAAGAUAUGAAUAUUAAUAACAUGAAAAUAUUGUUUUUGCUCCUGACACUGGAUAACGUUGGGGUAUUAUGAUAGUAAUGUAAAAUGGCGGCAGAUAAGGUGCUACCUUGAAGGUUUGAAGUAUAAUAGCCGAAAUGAACAUAAAAAAUGUAAAGCCGUAAAUCAGCUAAAAAAAAUCAAUUCCAAAGAUUUAAACUUGUUAAAUUCUAAAAAUAUAAAAACAUGAAAUCA